rnacentral:lncRNA from 1 species
UUUUUUGACAUUGCCUCCUGUACUGCACUUCUUUCAUAUUGGGGGAACCCCAAAGUUCAAGGGCAAUGCCACAACCAAAACUCAACAAGGCCAGAUCCUAUCUUCACAGCUUUCCUGAAAGCUACAGGUUAACAUCGUAAGAGUUGACUAGACUCCAAGGGACCGCUAGAGGACAAGGCCACGUCACAGUGACAUUACACUGGUCUCUUCCUCACCCUGUGAGUGAAAGUAUAGUCUAGGAAGCUGAUGAACAUGAAUGGAUUGAGACAUGCGCCAGAGGCCGGGUGGCCUCCACUGUGCGUUACUGCAUGACGGUCGGUGGCUCAGUGGUCCUGGUGGUUGGGACACUCUGCUUCGCGUCGUGGAGCGAAGGCAGUGUUGCCGUCCAGCCUGGCUCGCUGCCCGCCACCGUGAAGCAGCCAUCUCCCGAGAUGCCCCCAACUUGGCUCAAGUCUGUCAUCAUCCUCUGCUGCAUCGUGGGUGGUCUGCUUCUGUUCUUUGGCCUGCUUUGGUCCAUCCAGGAAAGGACAAAGAAGUCAAGCCAGGGGGACUUCUACCGACUCUCCAGAGACCUGUAUCGCCUUGCUGUGGAGUGCCCUGUGAAGGAGCCCUACAGAUCACCUUUGUGCCAGCAGACUCUGACUUCCAAGGCAUCUUGUCCCCAAAGGCCCUGAGCCUGCUGGAGACCGGGCUUUCGGAGGUAAAGAGCCCCCAGCCCCCCUACGUCAGGCUGUGGGAAGAAGCCGCCUAUGACCAGAGCCUCCCAGACUUCACUCACAUCCAAAUGAAGGUCAUGGGCUACAGUGAGGACCCCAGGCCACUGCUGGCCCCCGAGCUGAAGACAGGAGCCAGCAGUGUCAGGGAAGGCGAGCCUCGUACUGCUCAGGCCUGGAUGGAGGCUCCGGUGGUCG